UGGACCUGGCGGCGGCGGCGGCCGGACACGAGCCGGGUGGUCUCCUGGGGCAAGACAGACCUUCUCAGGCUGAGGGCCCAAGCAAGGCCCAGCACCAGCCGCCUCCGCGUCAGGAAGGACGGAGCGGAGGAAGGCAGGCCCACCGCCUGCCUGGCGGGCACCGAAGGCUUCGCUGGGGUUUCCCGGACACAGGAAGGGAGGGACGCGGGUCCGGGGAGGGCCAGGGGUUCGGAGCCCACAGCUGAGGUCCCGCCCGCAGAGAGCCGCCGGGAGGCCCAAGGGCUGCGAGGGUGGGCCUGGGAGGCGGCCGGAGGAGUCGGCCCAGGCGGAAACAGGCUCUGGGCAGAGGUCGUGCCUGCAAGCCAUGCUUCUCGUGGCACGUGGACCCUGCCAGCCUCCCACCCGCCUUGCCCUUGGAUCCCUGUGGGCCGCCAGUGCCCUUGGGCACUGGGGGAUCCGCGUGGCCCGGCACGUGGCCUCAAGGCCGUUCACAGAGAGGGGUCGCUGGGCCGCUGGGCCGGGGCUGGUGUGCGUGUGUCUGUGCGUGUGUGUCCGUGUGUGCGUGCGUGUGUGUGAAGUUCUGGGGCAACCCUGCGUCGGACAAGCCCUCUCUGCACCAUUUGCCCACCGGCCUCGGCUCAUCUCCUGUCUCUGUCUCGGUCUCUCGGUCAGCUUCUCGCCGUCUGUCCAAGGGCAAGCCGGGUGGGGUGGGGGUGGGGGUGGGGGUGGAGAGGGUGGUACGCAAGAGACAAGGAACCCACUGGAGAAGAAAGAUGAUCUCGGGCCGUGGUGGAGACGACGUCUGAGGGAGGGACCAGGGACCCCUAUGGGUGGCUCGCAGGAGGGGCCCCUGGGUGGAGAACUGAAAGGCGAGCGGGAGCGCAAAACAAGUGGCCGCACCUGCGGCAUAUGGAAGUUCCCAGGCCAGGGGUCGAGCCACAGCCACUGUAGAAGCAACGCCGAGUAGUUAUGUUGUGAGCCACACGGGAAGUCCGAGUUCUCGGCUGCCGAGAGGCGCUCAAAUGGAGCCGGGCGGCUGACGUCACGGGCGUCGGCGCGGAGGGGGGGGGGGAAAUGGGGGAGCGAGCGCCACCUGGUGGGCU
rnacentral:lncRNA from 1 species